UACACACUUUAAAACUUUUUCAAAUUAAAUUUAUACUAAAAAUUUACUUACAAAUCCAAUUUAAUUAAAAUAUUUCAACUUUAAAACCAUAAAUAAUUUUAUUGUAAUACAUUUUUACUUAAUUAUAAUCUGCACCUUGACCUGACAUUUUAUUUAAACUUAUAUUAAGAAAAAUUUCUAUUAAAAUAUUCUUAUGACGGAGAUAUACAAAAUAAUUAAAUUAAGUUAGAUCAUUGUGGAUUAUCAAUUUAAAAAAACAUAUUCCUCUGAAAAGAAUAAAAUGCCGCCAAAUUCUUUAGAUUUCAUAAAUUAAUAAUACUACCUAAUUAAAAAUUUACAUCCAAAA
rnacentral:rRNA from 1 species